rnacentral:lncRNA from 1 species
AUUUAAACUCUGUUGUUUUCAAUAUCAGGUUGUAGCAUAAUAGUUACAACUUACAAGCAUACUCUUAAUCUGUAUCAGUUAUGUUUUUCAUGGUCCAUAUGCUUUAAGGGCUGCAUGAAUAACUACAAAUAUGUGAGUUUUGUAAUAAAAAAGCGUGCAGUCAGAUGACUUGACUUUUGUGGAGGAGUAUAGGCAGGCUUAUCUUGAACUUGGAACACUCAUAUCACUGAAGUUAUAUCAUGUCUACUGUCCAGCGAAAAAUACACGAUUAAUUCCCGAGUGUAUCACGUCCGAGUGAAUGCAUAAAGACAACAAAGUAAUAAGCCCAAGCUUCAAAUUAAUAAUCAUGCAACAGCGCCAAUAUACGCAGAGCACAAUAAUACAAGAAGUAGCAGAAUAAUGUGAUUUGAGCAUUGUCGUCACGACUUGGACAUAUCACACCCACGAACAACAUUAAUUUAACCGCAAGUGGCAAAGAGAAAACGGAGAAAGCACUUGAUUUAUUUAUUUGUUUGAAAAGCAUCUGACAUGAUUAAUUUUAUGCAUACUUAAGAGAAAUCUGAGACAGACAAUCGCAAAGUUUCCGUGGCUCGGAAAGCAUUGCCAUGUGAUCACCGCCCUUGAUCUCCAUCACCUCAUUAACGGGAUAGUUUUGGAUCAUCCAGUGCUGAAAUUGCUUAGGGAGACCAAUAUCCUCUUCGCAUACAAGAUAAACUCGCUUAACAGAUCCGUAUCCUUCAUUGCUGAACUUACUUUCCUUCGAUAAGUUGUCUAUAAACAUUGAUCCUGGCCUCACCAACAUCUUGGCCAGCUCCAGAUCCUUUCAAUUAACAUAAUACAUAAACAAAUUGAAUGAAUAGGGUGAUAUGGUAUAAAAAAAAUGUUCUACGGCGACAAUUAAUUAAUUAAUUAAUUAAUUAAUUCUGACAUGUGAGUAGUAAUAAUAAUAAUAAUGAUAAAGUUUAACAUGAUUUGCAUGGUGUCGCUGUCGAGAUAUGGGUAGGAUACAAUUUGACAAAGCACAAUUGCACGUCCGAUGAAUGUGAUGCGCAGUAAAUUAAUUACCUCAGGAGGACAAAGCUGAUAGAGCUUGAUAGUCAAGAACUCGCGGCCGAAAAGCAUGGAAAUGUGAGAUGGAUUUGACUCGUCACAUUGUGAAAAUUGAGUGUCCAACCAGCUGUCGUCCUCUUUUCCGAUCUUCUCACAAUACUACUUUUCAACAUGCACAUAAAAUCCAACAAAUUAGAACAAAAUAUAGUAAUCGCAAUUAAUUGACUGGUUAAUUAAAGAGUUACAGAUCAGUUUCAACUUUAAACACGCAUGCAUCUCAAAUAAAUGUGAUGAUCAGAUUCAGAUGAGACGAGAGAGAUACGGGAACCUGCUCCAAAACAAAAGAUGGGCGGUGUGUGGUGUCAGGCAUGAAUGCAGUUACGAAAACAGCCACGGAGAUUUUGUGUGGGAAUUUGUCAGCGGCAAGGGCCAAAGUGACGCCCCCAAGGCUGUGUCCCACAAGUAUGACCUUUUCUUCGGCAGGAAGUGAUGCCAAGACCUCCAUCAAGGGCUCACUGUAUGCAUGGAAUGUGUGCACAUCCUCAAUUCUCUUCGUGUUGAUGCCCGAGGCGGCUAGGUCCACCGCCGUCACCCGGUGACCCCCCGCCACCAGCCUUGCUUUCAGUUUGUACCAACACCAUGCUCCAUGGUUUGCUCCAUGAACUAGAACAAAAUGCUUCCCUUUCAUGCCUACUACUUCUUCCAUUUUCUUUUCUCUACUUAACUAGUUAUUUAUAAUGCCUUCUUCCCUUUGUGUUGCAUUUAUUACACACACACUGAUGACGCAUCAUUCGUACUCUUCAAAUUGAAUUUCAGAAUUUGGGUGGGUCCCAAUCUUAGCAAUUCAAUUAGGAAACACUUUACUGGUCCCAGACUUAAAAGAUCUUCACUUAUUAAAAUCCAGCCAUUCAUUUGAUUCAAUCUAAGAGCUUAGCCACUUGUCUUGUAGAUUGAACCAUUACCCUUAAAGUCAAAUAUGAUAACGAGGGCAAUAGUUUGAGUCUCCAUGAACUCAACUUUCUUCAAUUAAUAUAAUUGUGUGGAAGUUACUUAUAAUAUUUUUUUUCUUUACGAAAUACAAGUGGAGUAGAGACAUCACUCGGAGUAGAGACAUCACUCCUCCGUGAAUGGUAUUUGGUUAGGUAUGCACUUUAAGAAUAAAAAUGUAAUAAUAUAAGUCUCAAGUAUAUAUCGGAUUGUAAAUAUCAAUGCAAUGAUCUGUUGUCAUAGCAAUUGUAAAUAUAUUUGUGUAAUACAGUAACCUGAUACUUAAUCAGUUAAAAAAAAAUCUAAAAUCUUAAAUAUUUGUGUACGUUCUUAAAAUUCUAUUGUAAUCUAAAACAAAAUGAAGGGAAUAAUUCCUAUUAUUACAAAUCUGAUUGAAAGCGAAAUAUUCACAAAUUAUUGUUUUUAUUGAAAGACAGGUUUAACUGGAUCCAAAAUUUUUUAAAAAAGAAAAGAAAAAGAAAAAGAUGGGGGCGGCCCGGGGGAGGGCCAGUUUAACUAAAUGAUUGAGCAAUUUCCAGUGGGCUCAAGCCCCCACUAAUCACAUACUAGAUCCGCCCCUGAGCAUAACCAUGUGAUCAAAAUCAGAUCAUUGAAUAAGCUUCACAUCUUUGGUUGGGUAAUAUCUCAAUAAACCAUCUCUGAAAAUCUUCCUCGAAAAGCUUAUCAUUAGCUAAAAGCAGCUCAUGACUUGGUCUUAACAGCAUCUUGGCUAAUUCCAAGGGCUGCAUCCAUUAUGACAGAAUUUAGCCAUAAUAUAAUAAUAAUAAUUAAUAUUAAUCAUGCUUUACCUCUUUUGGGUGCAACGGCGCCAAAAAAUAGUAGAAGUUGGUGGGUCAUCUCUUCCAUGAUCAAAUGAGAACUUGAAGUCUGGUACAGUAUCCAUUGAUUUCAAUUUGAAGAACUGUUUCGUGAAUGCACCCAACAAAUGAAACAGACAGCUAGCUAGCUAUUUGCAUGUGAAACACGCAUGAUUAAUGUUUAAGAGAUACAUUAAUAUAAUGUAAUUAAUAUUGAUUACUUCUUGUACUAGAGUUGCCAGGGGAUAUUAAAUUAGGCAUGAACAACUACUAAAAUUUUGUCCGGGAAGCUCUCCAUGGCUAAUGAAACUCCGAGACCACCAUAAAUAACUGUGACCCACUAAAACAUCGCUGGCUCCUCUUGUGGUAGAGAAGCCAUGAUGAACUCCAUCAACGGCAAAGCAAGUACCAUGUACUAGAACAAACUGCGCCUUAUCGUCCUUCUCCUCCAUUUUCUUUAAUUUCUCCGAUUAAGCUCGGUGGGUGACGAGUGUGGGGUGGCAAAUAUAAAAUGAAGCAUAGCAUUGUCGUAUUCUCAUCGACCAAUUGAAAGCUUAAUCCCACAACCACAAGCUCCGAUCCAACAAAGUUUCGAAGGAAUGAUCACACGAUAAUCGGCAAGGUUAUUGUUUCAACACUAGCUAAUAGUAAGACCCACGUCUGCCCCUUGGAUUUAAGGCUUUAAGCAGUGUCUCCAAAAAAAUUUGAAUAAUGCAUGCUUCAUAUUUCAAAUUUUAUUCUAAAAUGUUUGUCUCAAAUAUUGCAUUCUUCAAGUGAAUGAUGAAGUAAAAUUAUCAAUCAAAAUGAAAUUCAUGAAAAAUUUUCGUUAUUUGCUUGACGAAUGACAUAUGACAUGACAUCAUUCACAGUCAAAAUUUUAAAAUGAAAAUUAAUGUCACGACAUUAUUCAUAAAAUUUUCAUGCAUGCGUUAAAGCUUAUGCUCAUAUAUUCCUAGUAAAUGUGAUUUUUUAACAUAUAAAUUGACUAAAUUUAAUUUGUUUGAGAAUUAAAUUUUGUCUAAUAUCAAUUUGUGUGUUAAAAAGUCAUGUAUACCAUCAUUGGAUUUUUUUUUUUGAAUGCUGUAACUCCAAAAAAGAAAUAAUUCUUAAAUAUUUGUAAUUGAACAAAUGAUAAAAGUAAUUUUUAUGAGGGGCGAAAAUGUCACUCUUCUUUUAACGUUGAUAUUCAUUUGUUGACUAUUGCUGUUACAGAGUAUUACUUCAACAAAUCCUACUACCACAAAUUUUUUUUUUUUGGAAUUUCACACACCAUUAAUCUACCCCUGUAUCCUAUUUCAUACACAAAUACAAAUUAAAUGAUUUUUUUAAUUUCCUAAUUUUUUUUCAACCUAUGCAGAUUUUAUAUUUUUUAAAGUACAUAUAGGCAAAUUCUAGUGUUUGGUAAAUAAAUUUUACUAAAUAUUUAACCCUUCUUCUUCACGAAUGAUUAUUUCUACACUAUAACUAAUAUCAGCUAUUUUAAAAAUUAUAUCAUUACAAAAUGGCGACUUUAAUAAUAUGAAAAUAAAGAGGAAGUGAAAAGCAAUUAAGAAGGCAGUGACUCUAUGCGAUAGUGGAAAUUGGCAAUUUUAUUGUUUGUUUAGACUUUAGAUCAUAUAUUAGUCUAUUUCAUUCCAUGUGUUUAUAUUUUUUAUUUUGUCUAAUCGAUUGUCUCGUUUAUAACUCAGAAACUUAAAUUAUAUGUAAUCCCUUUAUUAUUAAUUUAUUAUUGAAGUGAAAUCUCCUCCCAAAUAAAUGAAGAGGGAAAAAAAAAAUCUUAUCACACGAAAGUGAUAAUAAACAAUUGUACAUCAUCCUAUCCAAAAAAGGAAACUUACCACUAAUAAUAGUGAUGCGGCAGCGGGGCGGUUUCUAAUGAAAUUGUCUCACAAUUAUGGAAACUGGAAGCCUGCUGGCAGAUUUAUGUAUAUAUGAAUUGGACCACAAUCUGAAAUCGACUUUGUCACCACUCGAAAUGGAAAUUGUAAUCAUAUUUGAUAACAAUAAUUGAAGGUGACCACCAUAUGUAACACCACAAAUUUCCAUAAUAUUAAAUUAUGGAAAUUGGGCUUUCAUUGAUAAUUAUGGGUGGCCUAUAACCCUUAUUAAGAAAGAGAUACUAAAUUAUAAAUAGAGGUUAUUUAUGAGAUAGUUUUGAAAAAUGGUUAUUUUUCCUUAUUAAAUAGGGUUUCUUAAAAUUCCCUAUAAAUUCAUACUUUUCCUCUUCCAUAACCCUUAGUCCACGACGUUUAUUCUUCUUCUCUGCUGCUCUUUACACUCGUGCCCAAAUCCUAGGAUUCAAACCUUUGUUUAGGAGAGAAUCAAAGUAACGGGUAAGUAAUUCUCCAUAUUCGCAACAUAUUUCUAAUCACUCUAUCUAGGGUUUAUAUUGGCACGAUUUUAGAUGGUUAUAGAUCAUAAUGCAUGAUUUAGAAUGUAUUUAGGCUUUGUUUAGGGUUUUGAUUUAUUAUAAGUUUAGUUAAUCAAUUCUUGACGUACGUAUUAAGCACACAGGAUAAUUCUGGACAGCAUGAGUAUCUCGAAUUUAAACCUAUAUUUUCUGAACGAGUUUGAUAUGUGCAUACACGUGCUAGUAGUGGCAACAAGAUGGAAAGUGAUAGUGGGCCUACUGGCAAGAUGGAAGACUUAGUCUAGUUUGUUUGUUCAGUCAUUAAUUAUUGAGUCGGUUAUUGAAUAAGUCUUGGGUAGUAGAGUGGUGCUAUUUUGUUGCCUAUUCUGCAGCAUUUCCUAUUUUCCAGCUUUGUUGUUAUUUUCUCUUCCAUGUAUGGCUAUAUUUAUAGCUUGAAUGAAUUCAAUAAAGGCAAGUAGCUUUAUCACCAACAGUUCCCACUUUGUCUUAUUCCUUUCUACCCUUAACUCCAAAUUCCUUCGUAUCAUUGGUAUCAGAGACAGGUCCGACCAUGGACACUCGCGGCAAAACAAAUGCAGAAUUCUGCAACGAGGUCAACGAAAUCUUAGCACGACACGAUACCAGUUUUGAUCAGGUGAAUGCAGUCUUACAGGAAGUGUUAACCGAGCUUCAAGCUCUUAGAGCCUCCCAUAACCAAAACACUAGCCCACGUGAUGACUCCUCACACCCACAUACUUCUCGUUCUAACAUUAUCAAUGACCACCCUCAUCAACACCUCAAGUUGUCCUUCCCAAAAUUUAACGGAGACGACCCAACUGGCUGGAUUUACAAGGCCGAACAGUACUUUGAUUUCAAGAACAUUACACCAGCACAACAAGUUCAACUAGCCUCCUUUCAUUUAGAAGGCAUCGCCUUGCAAUGGCACAGAUGGUUGACAAAAUUCCGUGGACCACUCACAUGGGAUGAGUUCACCAAGGCUGUUCAACUUCGAUUUGGUCCAACCGACUACGAAGACCCGUCAGAAGCUCUGACUCGUCUUAAACAAACCACAUCCGUAGCAGCUUAUCAAGAAGCUUUUGAAAAGCUUUCCCACCGAGUUGAUGGCUUGCCCGAGAAUUUUCUCAUCGGUUGUUUUAUUGCAGGACUUCGAGAUGAAAUUCGCAUAGAUGUAAAAAUUAAACAACCGCGAACCUUGGCAGAUACAAUAGGAGUGGCUAGGCUGAUCGAAGAACGCAACCAACUGCAGAGGAAGCCAAACCAGCAAACUCGUUUCCAACCAGCCUCAUUGACACCAAAGGCCUCACCCAACCCCACAGCUGGUGUGCUAGGACCUUCACCAACCCAGCGUAUGAACCAAAGCUCGAAUGCUCACCCAGCAACAUUCCGCCGAAUCACCAAUCAGGAGGCACGCGAACGACGAGAGAAGGGAUUAUGUUAUUACUGUGACGAGAAGUUCAUUGCUGGCCACCGUUGCGAACGACCUCAAUUAUUCAUGAUCGAGGAUUUCCCUCAUAUGAACACUGAGGAUGUUGAAGGCGCUCACCCAGAACAAGAACAUCAUGAAGUUACACCAGAAAUUUCUUUUCAUGCAAUUGCAAGAACUGAACACCCACAAACCAUACGCGUUCUGGGCAAGCUGAAAAACAAGAAUGUGAUGGUGCUAAUAGAUGGUGGUAGUACGCACAACUUCAUUGAUCAUGCUAUAGUCUCUAAGUUUGGGUUACCAGUGAUCCGGGAUAAGAAAUUCGAAGUCAUGGUUGCUAACCGUGAGAAGAUAGAAUGUAUUGGACAAUGUCGCGGUCUCACCCUCACCAUUCAAGGAUAUUCCGUUACCGCCGACUACUACAUUCUUCCGUUCGCGGCAUGCCAAUUGGUCUUAGGUGUAUAAUGGCUUGAAACUCUCGGACCCAUCAAGAUGGACUACAAGCAGCUCACCAUGAACUUCAAAGUAGAAGGGACCUCCCAGACCUUCCAAGGAUUGAGACGAACCAGCAUCGAAGCUUUGUCUGACAAGGAAUCCAAUGGGUUACAAGGCACUGGAUUAUUUUUCCAAAUAAUUCCUUCCACCACCAGCAGCAGCCAACCAAAGUCCUACCCACCUGAGAUAGGCCAACUCCUAGCAAAAUUCUCCCAUGUAUUUGAAUCACCCACCAGCUUGCCUCCAAGGCGGUCACAUGACCACCAGAUCCCAUUGCAGCCGAGCGCAGGACCAGUGAGUGUGCGGCCAUAUCGAUACCCUUAUUACCAGAAAACUGAGAUAGAGAAGAUGGUAAAAGAGCUUUUACAAUCUGGUUUGAUACGGCCAAGUAACAGUCCGUUCUCUUCCCCAGUUUUGUUAGUAAAGAAAGCAGAUGGAGCCUGGCGUUUUUGUGUGGACUAUCGAGCUCUGAACGACAUCACAGUUAAAGAUAAAUAUCCAAUUCCUAUUAUCGAUGAGCUAUUAGAUGAACUCCAUGGGGCCAAAUUCUACUCUAAAUUGGAUUUACGGUCUGGGUAUCAUCAGAUUCGGGUGCAGGAAGAUGACAUUCUUAAAACAGCAUUCCGGACACACGAAGGCCAUUACGAAUUUAUAGUGAUGCCAUUUGGCCUCACUAACGCACCAGCAACCUUUCAAAGUCUCAUGAAUGAUCUCUUUCGUCCCUACCUCCGGAAAUUUAUUUUGGUUUUCUUUGAUGACAUUCUAAUAUAUUCAAGAUCAUGGGAAGACCAUCUCGCACAUCUACAAAUUGUUCUCCAAAUCCUAUCAACUAACAGUUUGUUUGCAAAAGAGUCGAAAUGUCGAUUCGGUGUUUUACAGGUGGAGUACUUGGGCCACGUUAUUUCGGAGCAAGGCGUAUCGGUUGAUCCAGCCAAAAUACAAGCUGUCAUUGAGUGGCCAACACCAACAACAGCAAAAGGGGUCCGUGGGUUCCUCGGUUUAGCAGGCUACUAUCGGAAAUUUAUCUGUCAUUUCGGUAGUAUAGCAGCUCCCCUGACCCGUCUCUUGAGCAAGGAUGGAUUUCAAUGGAAUGAGGUAGCAGAGAUGGCCUUCACACAAUUAAAAGAGGCCUUGACGUCACCACCAAUUUUACGCCUUCCCGAUUUUACUCAACGAUUCGUGAUUGAAUGCGAUGCCAGCGGAAUCGGACUGGGUGCAAUUCUUACCCAAGAAAAUCGACCAGUGGCGUAUUUUAGCCAAGCACUGAAGGGUUCGGCCUUAUCUUUGUCCACCUAUGAGAAAGAAAUGUUAGCUAUUGUCAAAGCAAUCAAGAUAUGGUGUCCAUACUUGCUUGGGAAACCAUUUACAGUCCACACUGACCAAAAAAGUCUCAAGUACCUACUGGAGCAACGGAUUACUACACCAGCACAAACACGAUGGCUGCCAAAACUACUUGGUUAUGAUUAUGAAAUUGAGUAUAAACGUGGCCCUGAAAAUCAAGGUGCAGAUUCUUUGUCACGUGUAGUUGAAUUCCAAAUUUUAUCCAUUUCCAAACCACGUGCAAAUUGGUGGCCAGUGCUUCAAAAGGAAGUCCAACAGGACUCAUUUUAUGAAGAAUUAUUACAAAAAAACCCUUCUCCAGUUGCCCACAAGUUGCUCCAACAUGAUGGAGUAUGGUUCAAGGGAAACCAAGUGUAUUUGAGCCCCAACUCAUCCUUGAUUCCAAAGAUAAUGGCUGACUGCCAUUCGUCACCAAUUGGUGGGCACUUUGGGUUCCAUAAAACCCUCUCUCGUAUCAAACAGAGUUUUUUUUGGUCUAAUAUGCGCCAGAUGGUGAAGGAUUUUUUGCAGCAAUGUGAUAUCUGUCAGCGGUUCAAAACUGAUUGUAUGAAGCCGGCAGGGUUGCUUCAGCCGCUACCUGUCCCUACUCCAAUAUGGACUGAUGUCUCGAUGGACUUUAUUGAGGGGUUACCAUCUUCUAAUGGAUAUACUGCCAUCAUGGUAGUCGUCGACCGCUUGACCAAAUAUGCUCACUUCGUUGCCUUGAAACACCCGUUUACUGCUAUAAUUGUUGCCAAGGCAUUUGUUGCCAACGUGGUUCGCCUGCACGGUAUUCCGACAUCAAUUGUCAGCGAUCGGGACAAGGUGUUUAUCAGCUCCUUUUGGCGAGCAUUGUUCCAGCUGCAGGGAACCAAGUUGUGUAUGAGCUCAAGUUACCAUCCUCAAUCCGACGGCCAAACCGAAGUUGUCAAUCGAACUUUGGAGCAAUAUUUACGCUGUUUUGCAGGUGACCAGCCGCGGAAGUGGCUCGAAUGGAUUCCCUGGGCCGAGUUCAGCUACAACACUUCCACUCACUCCUCCACCAAGAUGACACCCUUCGAAGCUGUUUAUGGAAUUCUGCCGCCACGUCUAUUAGCUUAUGUACCGGGUACUUCCCACGUCCAAGCAGUAAAUGCGUACCUACGUGACCGAGAUGCUAUCCUACGUGAGCUGCGACAUAACCUUCUGCUGGCUCAAGACCGGAUGAAAUGUCAAGCUGACCAACACCGGCGCGAGGCCUCUUUCCUUGUGGGAGAUUAUGUGUAUUUGAAACUCCAACCAUAUAGACAGAUUUCUGUGGCUUUUCGUUCCUCCAUAAAGCUCACCCCACGUUUCUUUGGUCCUUAUAAAGUCACUGCGAAAGUUGGUCCGGUGGCUUAUAAACUGGCUUUGCCUCUUGGUUAUCAAAUUCAUGAUGUGUUUCAUGUCAGUUUGUUAAAGAAGCAUUUGAGACCAGUCACUGCAACGUCCACCCAACUUCCCCCUGUCUCAGAUACUUCGACUGUCCUUCCACAACCUGAAGCCGUUUUAGAUCGACGAGUGAUCCACAAGGGUAAAUAUCGCCCAAAAUCUGAAAUAUUGGUGAAGUGGGUCGGUGUACCAGCAGAAGAUGCCACCUGGGAGAAUGAAUGGCGUUUCACCAAGUCAUAUCCUGAUUUCAUCCUUGUGGACAAGGAUCCUUAAGCGGUGGGGAAUGAUAUGUGCAUACACGUGCUAGUAGUGGCAACAAGAUGGAAAGUGAUAGUGGGCCUACUGGCAAGAUGGAAGACUUAGUCUAGUUUGUUUGUUCAGUCAUUAAUUAUUGAGUCGGUUAUUGAAUAAGUCUUGGGUAGUAGAGUGGUGCUAUUCUGUUGCUAUUCUGUUGCCUAUUCUGCAACAUUUCCUAUUUUCCAGCUUUGUUGUUAUUUUCUCUUCCAUGUAUGGCUAUAUUUAUAGCCUGAAUGAAUUCAAUAAAGGCAAGUAGCUUCAUCACCAACAGUUCCCACUUUGUCUUAUUCCUUUCUACCCUUAACUCCAAAUUCCUUCGUAUCAGAGUUUUCUUAUGAAAUUUAUAUUUCUGGAAACUAGACAUGUAGGGCUUCUUGAUUAAAUUUUAUUUCAUUAAAUUCGACUUCGUUUUCAAUUUUAUAUGUAUUUUCGAAAUAGAAACCACUGCACUGGAAAACUGUGAUUCUAGCAUUGCGAUCGGAUUCACAAGACUAUUUGUACCAUCAAAUGAACUCGGAAAAUUCUGAAAGUUUAUAUGUAGGUUAAUAUAUGUGUCUAAAAUUCCCAGUUUUAAUUUCAUAAUUUUCUGAUUAGUAUUUUAUUUUAUAAAAAUCACGGAACCCGUUCUGUUUGGUUUAGAUUAUGUGAAAACAGUUUCGAAUUUGCUGAGAAGUAAAUAGUUUUUAAAAUGUUUUUGAUAUCGGAUCCUCUUGUAAAUUUUACAUGGGGUACUCAUGGAUGUCCAGAAUAGUUCCAUAGAAUAUUAUAUCAUUAUGAGUUUUAGAUUAAGAGUUAAAAUUCUGAGAAUCAGACUUGUACGGGUAUGAAUUAGAAAAUCAGAUUCUUAGAAUAAGUUAUUAAUUGUCAUAUUUUGUAUUUGUUCAAGGUAUUGAAGGUGAUUGAGGCUCUUAGAAGCUUAGAGGUGUGUUAAUUCAAAUUCAUUUGUCGAGGUAAGUAACUUCAUUCCUAAUGUACUGGAUAUGUAUAAGUAUUUUGAUAUUAUUAUUAUAAGUAUAAAUAUUUUUAUACUACUUAAAGGAUUAAUUGAUUUUGAUAACAAAAUUAGUUUUAUGUAAAUGUUUUCAAACCUAAAUUCUUUUUAACAAAGUAUUUUAUGUUAUAUUAUCGUGAUAUAUCGUUUUAUGAAAUUUAUGGAUUAUGAUACAUGUUUUAAACAAAAGAACGCUUGCAAUAUUUUUGUAUCGAUAGACCUAGUAUGAUAGAAAUGGUUUUACUUACCGAGUUGACGGCUCACCCCUCGUCAUUACUUUUUGCAGAUUAAGUUUCUUUUGAGAGGUGCGCUUUGCUUUGGAGUUAGUAAUUUUUCGUUUCUGUUUGCCAUUUGAAUAAAAGGAGGAAUAGACUUGUGUUUCUAUUUUAUUAUUUCUAUUAUGAACGUGUAAUUUGAAGUUUGAGAUUUUUGUUAUUAUUUUUAUAUCCUCGGGAGAGAUUUUUUAGUAUUAGACGUUUGAAUUUAUGAACAUAUUUACCCUUCGAUUUCGGACUGGGGUGUUACACCAUACGUAAAUGAAAAAUCUUGCCUCACCCAAAAAUGAUAACAAAACAAACGCUGUGUUUUUAGUACCGUCCAUCUCUCUCUCAACGUACUAGCGUUUGGAUAAGUAACAACUAACAAAAAUUAAUUGCAGUUGACCUUUUUACUGGGAUUUUUGAUUAUUACAACUCACUCACUCCUUUUAAUUUCUUUCCCACUUUUUCAUUUAUUUACUCUUUUUCUUUCUAUGUUCGCUUUCACCUUCCUCUUUUUUCAAGCAUAAGCAUUCAGAUUUCAAUUUCAAUACCCUUUUCUUUUCUCUUGUUAUUUGUACCUCCUUAAUCCUUAUCACCUCCUAAGGUUCAUAAAGCUUAGGAGUAUUACUUCAACAAAUCCUAUUACCACAAUAUAUAUAUAUAUAUAUAUAUAUAUAUAUAUAUAUAUAUUUUGGGAAUUUCACACACCAUCAAUCUACCCUUGUAUCCUAUUUCAUACACAAAUACAAAUUAAAUAAUUUUUUUUAAUUUCCUAAUUUUUUUAAUCUAUACAAAUUAUAUAUUUUUUAAAGUACAUACAUGUAAAUUCUAGUUCGUUUAGACUUUAGAUACCUCCUAAGGUUCAUAAAGAGGGAGUGAAAAGCAAUUAAGAAGGCAAUGACUAUGUACAGUAGUAGAAAUUGGCAAUUUUGUUGUUCGUUUAGACUUUAGAUAAUAUAUUAAUCUAUUCAUUUCAUGUGUUUAUAUUUUUCAUUUAAUCCAGUCGAUCGUCUCAUUUAUAAUUCAUCGUUCGUUUUUUAUCUCGGAACCUUAAACUAUAUGUAAUCCCUUUAUUAUUAAUUUAUUAUUGAAGUGAAAUCUCCUCCCAAAAAAAUGACAAGAGGGAAAAAAAAUCUUAAUCACACGAAAGUGAUAGUAAACAAUUGUACAUCAUCCUAUUCCUAUCCAAAAAAGGAAAUUUGCCACUAAUAAUAGUGAUGCGGCAGCGGGGCGGUUUCUGAUGAAAUUGUCUCGCAAUUAUGGAAACUGGAAGCCUGCUGGCAGAUAUACAGAGUCUGUAACGUAGCAAGGUCCAUACGUAUAUAUAUGAAUUGGACCACAAUCUGAAAUCGACUUUGUCGCCACUCCAAAUGAAAAUUGUAAUCAUAUUUGAUAACAAUAAUUGAAGGUGACCACCAUACGUCUCUGUCCCUCUUUCCGUAAUCGUAUUUGAUAACAAUAAAAUUUGGUUCAGUGCUUUGGGUCAUAAAUAAUCAAUAGCAACGAUCGACCGAUCACUACUCACGCACGUGACCCCUGUAUCACCAUUCACCGGGUCGAAUUAGUCCCGUGCUCUGCGUCCUCAUUUAUGUUGCUUGAUUUUCUUAACCUCGCCUUGCCUGCCGACUUGCUGAUUGUUGAAUAAGUUAACGCAUGCGGACUGAACCACGUGUAAAGAACCGUUUGAAAACGCAACCACGCCGACGACGUAUGAUAUCAAGGAAUGCAAUAAAUAAUAGUAAGGAUUGGAUUGGAUUGGAUUUCUUUCUAUUUUGAAUUAGAUUGGCCACCCAGGAAAGAUCUUCUCAUUGAAGUGGAGAUAUUAUUGUAUUAUAUAAUAAUAAAAUUAAUCACAAAUCAUAACAAUAUUAGACUAUUAUUUGUGAGCAAUGUCUUCUAGUAGAAUUUGGCAAAGCUCUUCAGGCUUUGAAAGCAUGACCAUAUGGCCAGCUGCAGAAAUUGACACAACUUGUUUAGGAUGGUAAUCCUCGAUCAUCGCUCGCUGGAAGUCCUCUUUCAUCACUUCAUCUUCUUUGCAGAUGACAUAAACUCGAUCCACCGACCCGAACUUUUCUUUUGUCAACAGAGAUUCUUUGGACAAAUCUUCCACGAAAAACCCCGUUGGUCUGACCAACAUUUUGGUCAGUUCCAAAUCCUGCAUCAUGAAAGUGAAUAACUAAUUAAUUAGGAAAGACACAAAUUCAGUUACCCAUUAAUUAAUGCAUGAGGCCGAGGUCUAAGUGGCGAGAUGUGUGAGUAGUAGUUCGAGUUCCCAUUUUGAAACAUAAAAAAUCAAUUCCUCUCUGAAUUAAAGAAUAAUUAAGUAGAAAUUUUCUUCCCUCUUGCGAAAUGUCAUAUUGACAUUUUUUUAAUAUUAGCGAUUAUUAACGAAAGUAGAAAAUUUGAGCAGUACUUAAAAAAAAAAAAAAACACAUGCGAUGGAAUUUUGUAUGCUUUUAAUGAAGAACUUGUUGGUUUAAAAAAUUCGGUUUUUAAAUUUUUAUAAAACCUUUUGAAGAUCGCUCUCAUAUAAUAUAUAAGAAUUCGUAUUCUAGAAAUCGUACCUUGAAAAUCCGAGUUGGCUUUUUCCGCUGAAGUGAUUUAGGCUCUUAGAUCACGAUCCGCCACCACCACUCUUGUUAGAUCACGAUCCGUCACCACCACGCUUGUUAGAUCACGAUCCGUCACCACCACGCUUGUUAGAUCACGAACCGUCACCACCACGCUUGUUAGAUCAUGAACUGUCACCAAUGAUCUUCCAGGUUAUGACUCAGGUUCGAUCUGCACUUGACGUGUGGGCGCCUUUAUCACUACCAAAGCAACUAGCACGAGAAAAUUUUUCUCUCAACAAUGGAGAGAAAAAUCUUAUUCUCUGAUCUAUAUAAAGUGGCUUUUUUCUUUUUUUUUUCUUUAGAGAAAAUAAGCCUUAUAUAUCUCCCUUUAGUGAAAAUCCUAGGCUCCAAAUAAUGCCCUAAAUAAAACUCACGUUAUUUUCUUUUUCAAUAGGGGACCCACCUUGUAAAAUAACAUAAGGCCCCUUAUACAAAAGCUAAUUAAAUGGAGCCUCCCACUAAAUGAUAUAUUUAGGCUUUUGACCUAAAUAGCUAGUUAUCUUACUUAUUAGUCCAGUAGUGGUGCAGUCAGUUAAAUGAGCUAACCCGGGGAUCAUUUGGGAACAUACAAUAGUGGCUACAAUAAUUAGGCCUGUAAUUAAACUAACCCAAUUAUUUAAUUCUAAAUCUACUCCACUAAAAGAUUGGAACUGACUUCCAUAAUUGUAUGCUCGAAUAAUAAUUCGUCCCAAGCCACAUUGAUUUCUUUACUGCACAAUCCUUUGUACCACAUCGUUAAUUAAAUUGAUAUCUCAACUGUCCAAUCAAUUUAAUAACAUCUUAUUCCUUGAUCCUUACUGGUUUUCUCUAAUGAUCAUUUUCAACAUACUAAAUAUGUUGACACACUCUGGCCAGAGAAUUCUAUGAUCAAGUGCCGAAAACCUAUCAAGAGAUGUGUUGUACAAAUUCUAUAUUGUUAAUCCAUAACUCUAAUACUCAUAAUUGCUCCCACCAAGAUACCGGGUAAUCUUGACCACAAGGAUGUGUCGUGCCCAUUGGUAACUCAAAUGGAAUAACAAUUACAAUCAUGAAAUCAUAAUUAACUCAAGAUUAAGAUUACAGUAAAAUCAAUGCCUAUGAGAUUUAAUAAGUCUGACAGUUAUUACAAAGUUAAUUAAAUCUCACAUGUGAUCCUGUUUAAUGUAGUCGUACUACAUCAAUAAAUUCAUACAUGAUUAAGACAAAUCAUUCAAUGAAUUUAUUAUAGUCUAUACCUAAAUAAAGUGCCCAACUUUAUUUAUCAACUGCGAACUAAAUUUAUUUAAUCAUAAGAUAACUUGUAUUUAUGUCUUUUGUGAAUCCACAUGGUGAUCACAUAAAUACAUAUAAUAUGAUUAAAUGGACUUUAAUACAAAUAUUAAUGCAAUUAAGAUAUUUGAAUAAAAUACCUCAUUUAUUUUAUUAAUCAGAAAAAUUGUUUAUUACAAUUAAAUAAACACAUAUGCUUUUAAAGAGCAUAUUUUCCCAACAGAACUUGAUGGCUUGCCUCUAACUGGCAGCACUUGCAAAGCACGAUCUUCAUGUACUCUGGUCCAAAGAGAGCUGAAGUUGGCGGAUUUUCCAAGCCUUUGUUGAAUGUAAAUUGGCAAUCCAGUAAAGACUCCACUGGGGUCCUGUUAAAAUACUGACAACCACACCAAACACGUAAAUAAUUAAAAUCAAAUAUGCAUUUUUUUAUAGAUAUUAUAUUAACAAAUUAAUUGAUUAUAUAAAAAAUUAGAAAAAUUUCUUUAUUUCUUGUAUGAGAGCUGCUGGUGGAGACUUGUAGUGAGGCAUAUAUGCGGAGAUAAACAUUGCAACCGAUAUUUUCUCAUGAAAAUUUUCCAUGGCAAGAGAAAUACAGAGGCCGCUGUAGCUGUGACCAACCAAAAUCACCUUUUUUUCUUGUGGUAAACAGGCCAUGAACUCCAUCAGCGACUGCAAAUAAUCUGAAAUGGAAGCAAUUUCAUCAUCGAGCCGCUUGCUAUUGACCCCAGAAGAUCCAAGGUCUAUAGCACUCACAUGGUGACCGGCAAGUUUCAGAAGGGUCACGACUUUGUACCAACACCAGGCUCCAAGGCAAGCUCCAUGAACUAACACAAAAUGCUUCCUCUCCUCCAUCGCUACGAAAGUCAACUCUUUCCGUAGCCUACCUUUAACUUUGGGGCUUUCAGCGGAGAUUCUAACUCCAAAAACGAUGGGUAAGUUUUCUUUUCUUUUCGGGUAAUUUUUAGGGACCUCUCUUGAGGUUUGAAGUAUUAACACUUUGAUAGAAUGUAUUAAUACAAUUACACAUACUUCCCUCGCCGUCAAUUACCAGUUAAGUUAACCGUUAGUUGACUGUUAAAAUUACUAAAACACCCUUCCCGCAAAAAUAAUAAAUUAUUAAAUAAAAUGGAUGAGAACCGAUGGAUACAGGCAGCUGAUGAAUUGCCAUAAAAUAUAAUCAAUCUUUUCACCAACUACCACAGCUUAAAAUAAACCAAAAAAGAGAAUGCAAUAGGAGUGGCAAAGAAAAAAAGGAAAAAAAUUGUGGAACCAGCACGAAAUUAUAAAAAAUUCUAAUAGGUGCCGAAAACAUGCCAAAGUAGUUUAAAAUAAAACCACUAUAUCUCUACAACUAGGAGAUGCCAUAUAAGCUAUGAUUUUGUUCGAGUCUCUCUAGUUUCCAACUGCAAAUUAAUCAAUUAUGGACGAUGAUGACGAAAAAGAAUUCAAAACAAGGAUAAGUCAAGAAAAAAUAUUGAGAAAAGAUUUUUUUUUUCUCUCUUUUCAUUCCCUUGCUCAAUGCAGAACAACUUCAUAACAAUGAUAAACCCACUAAUUUUUAAAUCAAAAUUUACAUAAAGGCUAAAGCUUUCUAUCAUUACACUUUAAUUAGCUCAAAAUGAAGAAAAUCAAAACCCACAGUUGUUGAAAUCAACAUGCACAAAAAAAAAUUCAAAAUACAAAGAACCCAUUUUCAGGUUUAAUUAACCCAGGUUCAACAAAAUCAUCUACAUAUUAUCUCUUUCUCACUCCUGUCGCAGAUGAAGUCGUUUGCCGUUGUUACUCGCUUCAUGGAAGACUUGGGCCACCAUCAGAACUCAUCUUGUUCGUAAUUGAAGCUAAACUAUGUUUUAAUCUUGAAAUGGUUUUGGGCAAAUGCAGCCGCUUUUUCACAACCUUAGGAAGGCGAAAAUGGCUGGGUGUUGCUUCGAUGAAAGAGAAAGCUAAGUGCAGGCUUUAUUUUGUGAAGAUUUUUUUUACUUUUGUCCACUGGUCAUUACACACCAGUAGAUAAUAGAGUAAACCAAGCAAGAUUUCGCAGACAUCAAGAACUUAAAGCUUUAAUUUUGAAUUAUUUUGAAUUUUAAAUAAGCUUUUACAUAUUUAUCAUUUUAUACUAACACCAUACGUAUUUUUAUACUAACGACAAGGGAGGUGUGUGUAAUUACAUCAAUACAUUCUAUUAAAGUGUUAAUACUUCAAAUCUCAGGGGAGGUCCCUAAAAUUUAUGCUUUCUUUAAUUUUGAAAGUGAUUUGUCCAAAUAUACAUAUAUAGUAAUUUUUCAAUUAGGAAUCCCGGUCUUCAAUGUACUAUAUUUUAUUGUGUAUUAAAAUUUAAUUUUUUUUUCUUUUAACUAAUUCUUAAUUUUAUUAAAGUUAAAGAAUUCUAAUUGAAAAAUCACUCUAUAUAUAGUAAUUAUAAUAAUAAUAUUUUGGGUUGUCUUUCAUUUUGGGUUAUAUUUCCCCAAAAAAAUAGUAAUAAUAAUAAAUACCAGAUGUAAUCGACAAUCGUUCAGUCUUUUUCUCAUGUCCGAAGUGGCCCCUGUGCAUCCGCGGCUUAUAUUUAUAUCACAAUUUCUCAGUUUUGAUUCAAAUUCAUAAUGAAAUCAGAACGAACACAAUCUCCUUCACCUCAAAUCUUCUAACCCUAAACUUGUUUCCUGCGGACCUCAGAACAUGAGUAUGGAUGACUUCGCCCAAUAAUCAAGCCUCCAGGCUUGAAUCCUAAAGUCCCGAAAAUGAAAUGCCCAUCAGCAUCUGGGCCUCUCUCCCAGGCAUGUGUCUGCCGUUGGCCAGGAAUUCUUUUCCUUUUUAAAUUAGUUUAAAAAGAGGCAGCUUCGUUUGUUGUUUUCUGUCCUCCAAUACGACCCGUCAAUCACCACACUUUCGAUUAUAGUUUAUUUUAAGAAUCCAAGUUGAUUGAUUUAAAUGCCCAAUUAGAAUUACUUCUGCACCUAAACUUACGCAACAAGGGCGGGCCGAAAGAUCAAUCCAACAACUUCAAGACUCUUUUAACACUUCGAAAAUAAAUUAAUAAAUAAAUAAAGCAGCAAAGAUGACUGAAGCAUUUUUAGCCAAUUAAAAUAAAUCUCUGCAGUAGAAGGGUUAUCAUCGGUGAGUCUAUACCACACCAAUUUUUUUUUUUUUAUUUUAAAAAAAGCUCAUCAUUUCCCCCCCUAUCAAACCCAUUUUGGAAAGAAACAAUGUGCAGCACCUUACUGUUGACUCCGGUUUAUUGAAAAAUGUAUCAGAAUAGUAUUUACAGGCAAAUUAAUCACCACAAGCAGAAAGAAAAAAUGAAGAUUAAAGUAUACAAACGGACAACAUUUACACAAAUUGUGCAAUUAAACAUGCUCUUAUCGUUUGCUUCUCAUAUACAAGGUUAACAACUCCAAUACUCCUAUCAGCAGUACUAUUAGCAGAAUUAUACCAUUUUACCUUCAGAGUUUGACAAGUUAUUCAGAUCGCUAAUGCUGAUAUUCAGCUGAGCAUGGUUGGAUGCCCGGUCUGGAGCAUUCUCUUGAUCAUAUCCAUCCCAAAAGCAGAAUCCGAUGAACUGAGAAACAGAAGCACAAUAUUGGUUCACACAUAAAUCAGAGAUGUUUCUUAUUAAACAGAUUUGACGACAGCAACAACUUCUCAUAGAUUGAUAAAACAAAGACAUGUCACCAAGGGCAGUUAUCUUUCUGUGUUGACAAAAAUUCAUUACUCAGACCUCUUUAUCAGUCUCUCUCCCCCCCCCCCCCCCCCCAAAAAAAAAAUAAUAAUAAUGUUGCUAGUGUGCAAACAGAUCUGUUUGGUAAAUGGAUAUAUACAGGACAUGGAGAUGCGCCUUUACUUCCAGAUGAACUAUACUACUACAUUACAUAAUUGGCUUUAAUUAUUAAAAAAAAAUCAAAUAAACUAAUAACAGGUAUGAAAGAAGGGUUGUACAUCAGGUCGGAAGAUUGGGAACUUAGAAAUCAUUGCCCAAGCAAUCAAUUAUACUUCAGAUUUCGUAAUCACAUAAAAAACAGCCACGUUUAUGGUAAAAAGGGACAAUAAUUCAGAACAAACUUAGCAUUGGAGACAUUUUGCAGAAUCGUUAAACAAACCUAGUAAACAAUCAGUCUCACCUCCAUCAGGAUAUUUCUCAAAUGACCUAUCACAAUUUGUGUGUAUUAAAUUUACUUCACAUAAAGAAUUCCAAAUUUCUAGAAGCAUAAGCAACCUACCCUCUGCAGUCAGCCUUCUAAACAAAAAUGCUUCAAGGAGCCCUCAACCAAAAGAAAAAGAAAAUUUACUUGUUUGGUGAUUUCAACAGGUUGGACCUACGAUUAUCAGAGUCCAAACGAAAAGCCAAUGUCCACACCAUUUUAUUUGCUCCAAGGUAGUUGGGUAUACUAAUGCAAGGGUAAGGAAUCAAUAUUUGGUGAUGGAAAACAUUGCACCAGCUAACAACCCAUAUCAGAUCUUACUUUGGUCCAUAAAGAAUCAGAGGAGCUGAACCAACAAUGCAGGACAAAUGUCACAGUAUGAUUCAUGUUAGACCUUAUGCCAUGUAGAAAUUUUCUCAACUCAACCUCAUGUAAACUAUAGUCUUGGACAUUAUACUGCUCCUAAAGAAAUUUUUCUGUUGAACAAUAACAUUCUCUGUGCUAAUAUCCUUCCACAAUGAUGGUGACCGUAAAUGAAAAAGAUAACCCUUGAAUACUACCGACCCUCUUCAGUAGGCAUAAAUCUAUCCAAAAUAAAUUAUAUUGCCCAGAUCACCCAUGAAACAACAAUCGAUAAACACAGAAAGUGGCUUCAGUCACACAAAUUAUAGUAAUAUUAAGUUCGUUCUUGGAUGAAACAGCCACCAAGUGGGAAAAACAGUGAACAUAACUACAACUUUCAUCCAAGAUUGUGUGUAUUCUUUCUCCCUCCCUAUCCGGUUCUUUUUCUUGCUUGAACAAUUUCAAAGACAAUUCUUCUACUGCAUUUGAAGGAAAAAUAAGGGUUCUAGAAAUACCUUUCUUCUCGAAAUAAGCAGCAGAGCAAUCAAGUAUUGGAUCACAUUAAUGGUCGGAAAGAAAUCACAAGCGGAAAUCCUUCUUUGCUCACAGUAUAAAUGUCCUUUUUUAUGGAUUGUUCAAUGGUCUUAAUUUUAAUCUUCACGAAGAAGAGAAGAAGAUGAUUUUUAACAAUUUUUAUGUAUCUCUACUCUUAUUCUUAUCAUUAGAGAGAUUUUAGCCAGUGGAGGAAGUUUAUUUAAAAUUAACUUCCCUCUCAAUCUUCAUAACCGUACAUGGUAGUUACCAUGUGUGGGUCGGGUCAGGUCGGCCCAUCAUGGGCGACCCACCCAUCCAACAGCAUUAAAAGAAAAAAGUCAAAAACAUGUAUGUAAAUUUUAUUACAAAAUCAUAGCAACAAGAGAAGUAAACAUUAUUAAAGUUCAGCAAACACGCAACAAAAAUUUUCAAGAAAAUGUACUGAAGCUUUAUUGGCAUCAUUUUGCUAAAACAGUCACAUAAAAUUCAUCCAAACCUAAGCCACUGUAUAACUUCGAUCACAAGGGAUAAAGAAAUCCUUUGAAGCAAGAAGGCUAAGACAAUCAAGAGGUGGGGAAAAAUCACUCACUUUCCACAUAUAAGCAUGAGCGAUAAUAACAAAACUACCACAUGAAAAGUAAAAUAGGCCUUCACAUUAAUGAAGAAAAAGCUAUUAAAGGAGAGCUGACCUUGGGAUGGUUAUUUCACAAGGAAAAUAGAUGACACCCUCAGAAAUGGAAGGAACAUGGUCUUUUUUCUCAUUAACAAAUUUUAUUAUUUGAAAUAAAACAUCACGAAGAGAAGCUUCAAGUGCUGCCCGGCGAACGCUUCUCUCCUCAGAUGCGCUCUCUGUAUUCAAGGAUAUAAUGAGGGAAAAUAAGAAGCAUAUACCUUCAAAUAAGUGAGACAUCAAAUAUUCUUUAAGUUAAAUCCAUAGUUUCAGUACCUCCAGGGUCGAAUACAACUUUGGAAUGAUGAGACUUGUUGGAAUGAGCUUUCGGGAGUUGGGCCACAUUCAAAUUCACAUACCACUGCUCCCAGUAUAGGCGUUCAAUUUUGUUAGUGAACCAUGAUGGCUGUUUGUUUUUUACUUCAUAGAAAGAUAAACAUAUCUGCAUAAUUAUUUCAGAAGUUAGUAAACAAACAGAUAUGGCGGAGCAUAAACCUCAACUUAGAAGUAAUCUAAGACAAAAAGCCCUGCAUGAAUAAUUUUUCAAGUCAAGAAAAAUAUGCUAGACUUAAAAUGCCAACAUAAAUAAAUUUAUUUUAUUAAGUUUUUUCAAUCAUUAUUUAAAUUUAUUUAAUUUAAAAUUAUCUAUAAUGUUGAAUUGAAAAAAAAUGAAAGUAUAAAUAGUAAUUAUGUGAUUACAUUAAAUAAGUUAAAAAGUUGAAGGGGUAUUUUUGGAAGUUUUGGUUUCCAACAUAAGGGGAAUUUGAAUUCUUCGCUUCUUGGUGUGGAAUUCAAAUUCCACAUUAUAAUGGAUAUUAAUUUCUAAUAGACGUUAAAUUAUUACACAUUAUGUCAAACCAAACAACGAAAAUAAAAAAAAAAGAUUUUAUUGUCAUGUUGUUUCUUUAUUAAGGACACUGUAGUUACUUAUUUUGUUUAGAUAUUUUUCAGUUUAAUGGGAUUCAGGAACUUUGCUCUAUGGCAAGAUGACCGUGACAAUUCAAAGAAGGGAGGACCACUUAGGUGAUGUUUGGUUUGAAGAAAUGUGAGAAGAUGAGAGGAGAGGAAAGUGGAGGAAAAGAGAGAAUAGGAGAGGAGAGGAGAGGAGAGGAGAGUACAAAACUUUUCUAAUAUUUGGUUUGUUACAUAAUUAUAUAAAGAAAGGAAAUCUCUAAUUUUUUAUUUAGAUAAUUUUAAUCUUAAUAAGCGUUAAGCUUUCAAUAUUUAUCAUGAAUAUAAUUAAAAAAAAUUAAACAGCAAAUGUUAGAGAGAGAGUUGGGUCACAUGAGAGAAACAAGUCAACCCGAACCUGAGAGCCCGACCUGAAAGCCGUUUUUUAUUCCUGCCACAUCACCGGUAAUGGAAGGUACUGAUCAGAACUUCAAGAGCCAACCAUCAUUCCCCAUCCAUCACUGCCGCCGAAUAUUGCCGGAAAGCCUCCAAUUGAAGCGUGAAAAGCUGCGGAUAUCGCUGCCUCAAAUUGUCGAAUUUUCACCUUUUUCUUGUCACGUCGUCGCCGUGGUUUUGUCUAUCAAGGCUGCCACUUCCAUUUCCGACCAUCCAUAGCCACUAGCAACCGCCAAAUCGUCGCCAAUCAAUCAGAUUUGAACAAUAUACAACCAUUUUUUGAUCUCGACGAUGACAUAGUAAUGUUGAUCGUUGAUCGGCAAGUCGAAUGACAGUCGCAAUGAGUAACACACACCAGUGACACCGGCGUCAGUCCUACCAUUCAGUGACUGUCAAUUUAAUAUUUAAUAUUUAAUAUUUAAUAUUUUUCUAUUAAAUAAAUAAAUAAAUUUAUUUUAUUAAACUUUUUAAAUCAUUAUUUAAAUUUAAUUAAUUUAAAAUUAUCUAUAAUGUUGAAUUGAAAAAAAUGAAAGUAUAAAUAAUAAUUAUGUGAUUACAUUAAAUAAGUUAAAAAGUUGAAGGGGUAUUUUUGGAAGCUUUAGUUUCCGACAUAAGGGGAAUUUGAAUUCUUCACAUCUUGGUGUGAAAUUUAAAAUCCACAUUAUAAUUUAUAUUAAUUUCUAAUAGAUGUUAAAUUAUUACAAGUUAUGUCGAAUCAAACAAUGGAAUUAAAAAAAGGAAUUCAAAUUAUUUUUCUCUCCUCCAUUCCCUCCUUUUAACCAAACACAACCUUAAAGGAAUUUCAGCCAGUCCAGUAUUUCUCAAGAAUAAGAAGAAAUGGUAAAAAUGAGAUCCUUUCAAUCUAUUAAAGAUGCAUUUGUUUAAUUGGUAAAAAUGAAUGGAAAUAUUUAUCAGAACAGCUGAGACAGAUGUUCUGAAAGAGCUCUCCAGUUCGUCAAAACCCUUGGGCCAAAUUUGUGUUGAUAUUUCAAUGUUAUUGAUUUAUCAUAUAAAUCUUUUGAACAGUUGAUGAAGGUAAGGAUAUUUGCCCACUUUUUUAAUGUGCAGUUAAUAUUCAUGUUUUCUGAUCUGCUCAUUGUGGAAAUUUUUCUGGUGUCCUUGUAAAGGAGUCAAACGAAAGAGAUCUCUGAACUCAUUUCUUUGACUUCAUCUUUUGCAUCCGAAUUUUGUUCUUCUGCUUGUGCAGCAUGAGAAUGAGUUUGUUGAGGUUGUUUAGGGCUGGAUGCAUUAAAGUGUGUCUUUAUGAGGAUUGCACGCGCCUUAUUUUGGCUAUAGGAGUAUUUUGUCUAUUUCCUUAUGAGGAUCAGGGGAACGGGUACCUCGCAAGGGCAGAGCUGUCCUUACUGUUUUCCCCCGUUGAAUAAUCUGAGAAAGAUUUUUCUUCUAGUCAUCUAUUGGCCAUUUUUUCCUUGCCACUUUCAUUACAACCAACGAGAAGUUUAUGUUCAAUGUGUGUGAUAUGACAUCUUUGGCCAUUUUUUACUCGUGUCUUUGACUUUACCUAACAAGUAACAUGACUUUUGCAUAGCAAUGGGAGUACUUCAAGCUACAGGGCAUUAAACUACUUUGUGGGGCCAAAGGAAGUUUUCCAAAAGUGGAAAAAUAAGAGUUAAACCGCAGGGAAUUGGGCACAAUUUUUUAUUUUGACUGUAUUGGAAUUGUUUUAAGCUGAACCUUGUAAAAUUUUUAAUAAUGAAUGAGGGGUUUCAUUUUUAAGAAAAGCAUAACUAUGCAGAAAUAUGAUCAACUGAUUUUUAAAUAUCUGAGUUAAGUGAGGAGGCAUGCGCCCUCACCAAGAACACUACUGUGUGGCUCUGUUGGUGAAAAUGAGGGUGUCGUAUCGGUUUUAGAUUUUAUAAUCUAUACUAGACAAUAGAACCGCGUUUCACGCGGCUUUGAAAAAAAUUUAGUAUUAUUUUUUUUUUUUUACUUUACACUUAAUAAAACUGAUAAAAAAUAUGAAUUGACUUUUUUCUUAAGAUGAGACAGCCUUAUAAAAAACAAAAAAAAACUAUUAGCCAGCAAUACAAAUAAAGAAGCAACGCAAGAUAAAGAAUAAAAUGAGAGAAUAUAUUAUAGAGUGAUUUUAUUCAUUCCAAUUGUGUGUGUACAAAACAAAAAGAUGAACUCUCCUUUUAUAGUUACAUAAUCACUCCAUGAAAUUAAUGAAAAAUUAUGAAUCAUAAUUCCUUAUGAGAUAGUGGGAGUUAUAGGGAAGUUAAAAGUUGUUAAUGGGAGAUAGUGGGGAGACUAAGAGAUAUGUGUUAUGAACAUCUACAUUUAUUUUAAUAAAUUCAUAAUGUUUAUUACAAAAAAUAUGCAUCAUUAAAAUCUUUAUAUAAUUGUUAUUAUGUAACAACAAUCAAAUUAAUUAUGAGAAAUUAUGAGAAGAUGAAAAGCCAAAUCUAAAAGAAAAUUUCUUUAUUUAUUAGAUCAUAGAGAAUAUACAAAAAUGAGAAAUGGACCUCCUCAAGACUCAGCUUUAUAUAUAUAUAUAUAUAGAUAUAUAGAUAUAGAUAGAUGGGUCAGAGAGACAGAUUGUAGUAUCUUUUGGUGGUUAAUUGCGGACAAUUCGAUUACGCAAAGCCAUUUAUUAAACUCGGUUCUUUCCCUACGCUUCUAGGGUGGAAUCUUGACAUGACUUGAUGUCCUUGCACUUGGUUAUGUUAUUUUUCCCCCCUCCUUUGAUAAGCUAUGUUAUGUUAAUCAAACAAACCUAUUCAAUAGUCUUUUAAGUAUUAUUAAUGACGCGAAUGACCCAGAUUGAAUGACUCUAGUAUCUAAUGCAAUAACGCUUUAUUAACUAUCGAAAUUUUCCUUUAUUGCUUAAUUUUUCCAAAAUUUUUACCCUUCUUUCUCAACCCUUUUAUUUAUUUUUAUCAAACUCCAUUGUCGCAGAGAAAAAAAAAAACAAAAAGAUUCCAAAUCUAUUUUUAUCCAUCUCUAAUAUUUAAUUAUAUCACAACGAAUACAUCUUAGUCGCUUCGCUUUCAAAAUUCUGAAUGGCCGGAAAAUAUUAUUCAAAAGAUUUCAGAAGAUGUAUCAUAUUAUGGUGGAAACAAGUUUUUUUUGAAGGACAAGAUCAAUUAAGUUAAAGAAUUUGCAAGUUUUAAUCUUGUAUUUAAACUCUGUUGUUUUCAAUAUUAGGUUGCAGCAUAAUAGUUACAACUUACAAGCAUACUCUUAAUCUGUAUCAGUUAUGUUUUUUUAUGGUCCAUAUGCUUUAAGGGCUGCAUGAAUAACUACAAAUAUGUGAGUUUUGUAAUAAAAAAGCGUGCAGUCAGAUGAUUUGACUUUUGUGGAGGAGCAGUAGGCAGGCUUAUCUUGAACUUGGAACACUCAUAUCACUGAAGUUAUAUCAUGUCUACUGUCCAGCGAAAAAUACACGAUUAAUUCCCGAGUGUAUCACGUCCGAGUGAAUGCAUAAAGACAACAAUAAUAAGCACUUGAUUUAUUUAUGCGGCACAAUAAUACAAGAAGUAGCAGAAUAAUGUGAUUUGAGCCUUGCCGUCACGACUUGGACAUAUCACACCCACGAACAACAUUAAUUUAACCGCAAGAGGCAAAGAGAAAACGGAGAAAGCACUUGAUUUAUUUAUUUGUAUGAAAAGCUUCUGACAAGAUUAAUUUUAUGCAUACUUAAGAGAAAUCUGAGACAGACAAUCGCAAAGUUUCUGUGGCUCGGAAAGCAUUGCCAUGUGAUCACCGCCCUUGAUCUCCAUCACCUCAUUAACGGGAUAGUUUUGGAUCAUCCAGUGCUGAAAUUGCUUAGGGAGACCAAUAUCCUCUUCGCAUACAAGAUAAACUCGCUUAACAGAUCCGUAUCCUUCAUUGCUGAACUUACUUUCCUUCGAUAAGUUGUCUAUAAACAUUGAUCCUGGCCUCACCAACAUCUUGGCCAGCUCCAGAUCCUUUCAAUUAACAUAAUACAUAAACAAAUUGAAUGAAUAGGGUGAUAUGGUAUAAAAAAAAUGUUCUACGGCGACAAUUAAUUAAUUCUGACAUGUGAGUAGUAAUAAUAAUAAUAAUGAUAAAGUUUAACAUGAUUUGCAUGGUGUCGCUGUCGAGAUAUGGGUAGGAUACAAUUUGACAAAGCACAAUUGCACGUCCGAUGAAUGUGAUGCGCAGUAAAUUAAUUACCUCAGGAGGACAAAGCUGAUAGAUCUUGAUAGUCAAGAACUCGCGGCCGAAAAGCAUGGAAAUGUGAGAUGGAUUUGACUCGUCACAUUGUGAAAAUUGAGUGUCCAACCAGCUGCCGUCCUCUUUUCCCAUCUUCUCAGAAUACUACUUUUCAAC